UUUCCGACUUCUGACAAGAAGAAGAUCUGGAGUAAUAAACCUUGCUCUCCUGUUCAACUCACAAGAGUCAGUGUCGUGCUCCUCGCCGUUCCCAAUAGUGCGACAUCUGGUGGACCCUGACGUACGUUGCAGCCGCGAUUGAAGACAUGCCACCUGCUUCCUCCCGAGAGAGAAACGCUUAACCACAAUGACCACGUAUCCGUCUGUGAAGGCAAGAAGCUGAAACUGCAGAGCUGAAGCUGCAGGAUGAUAUCCGGCUGCACAAAGGGGAAGUAGAACAUCUUAUUCAGGAGAAAUGCCUACCCACGACCACCAAGAAGCAGAGGAAGACCCUACCCACAACCACCAAGAGGCAGAAGACCCCCUAGCAACAGGAGGCGCAGGCGCUGAUGCAAUCCAGGAAGACAGAUGCAGGGACUGCAUAAAAAAAGGGGAACCUCCUCAGCCAAGGCGCGUGCCGUGUGCAGGACACUUAAGAUGAAGUGUCCACCGGCUUGCCCCCAGCUGGGUUUUUGCUUGCUUUACUGCUUGCUGAAUUAAUAAAAAUUUGCUUUCAUUAA